CGCGGCCUAUCAGCUUGUUGGUGGGGUAAUGGCCUACCAAGGCAUCGACGGGUAGCUGGUCUGAGAGGACGAUCAGCCACACUGGGACUGAGACACGGCCCAGACUCCUACGGGAGGCAGCAGUGGGGAAUAUUGCGCAAUGGGGGAAACCCUGACGCAGCAACGCCGCGUGUGGGAUGACAGCUUUCGGGUUGUAAACCACUUUCAGUGAUGACGAAAAUGACGGUAAUCACAGAAGAAGGUCCGGCCAACUACGUGCCAGCAGCCGCGGUAACACGUAGGGACCGAGCGUUGUCCGGAUUUAUUGGGCGUAAAGAGCUCGUAGGCGGUUUUGUAAGUCGGAUGUGAAAACUCAGGGCUCAACCCGGAGACGCCAUCCGAUACUGCAAUGACUGGAGUCCGGUAGGGGAGCAUGGAAUUCCUGGUGUAGCGGUGGAAUGCGCAGAUAUCAGGAGGAACACCAAUGGCGAAGGCAGUGCUCUGGGCCGGUACUGACGCUGAGGAGCGAAAGCAUGGGGAGCAAACAGGAUUAGACACCCUGGUAGUCCAUGCCGUAAACGUUGGGCACUAGGUGUGGGGUCUUCUAACGGAUUCCGUGCCGUAGCUAACGCAUUAAGUGCCCCGCCUGGGGAGUACGG
rnacentral:rRNA from 1 species